AUCUGAAUCAUGUUCUGCUUUAGUUUUCCAGAGACUCCCAUUUUUAGCUUUGAUUAUUGAAGAAGAAGAUUAAAAAAGAGGUAUACUUCAAUGAGAUCUCCUUUGGUGCCCACCAAAAGCAAGUUUAGUGAUAAUUGUGUAUCACGUUUUGUCCCAAUUUUAAAAAGGAGAAGAAUGGAACAUUCCAGAUCAAGAGGAAAAAGAUAUAGAUAUUAUAGUACAAAUCUAGGAUAAAUAGAGAAUUUAACUUUUAGAAUUCACUCGUUAUCUUGGUAGUCAUAAAUGAAAAGUGCUAGUUUAAUGGGGAAAGGAUUCCCUAUUUCAUAAAUGGUAUUGGGAAAACUGGCUAGCCAUAUGCAGAAAACUGAAACUGGACCCCUUCCUUACACCUUAUACAAAAAUUAACUCAAGAUGGAUUAAAGAUUUAAACAUAAGACCUAAAACCAUAAAACCCUAGAAGAAAACCUAGGCAAUACCAUUCAAGACAUAGGCAUGAGCAAAGACUUCAUGACUAAAGCAAGAAAAGCAUUUGCAACAAAAGCCAAAAUUGACAAACGGGAUUUAAUUAAACUAAGAGCUUCUAGAGAGCAAAAGAAACUAUCAUCAGUGUGAACAGGCAACGUACAGAAUGGGAGAAAAUUUUUGAAAUCUAUCAAAGGGCUAAUAUCCAGAAUCUACAAGGAACUUAAACAAAUUUACAAGAAAAAAAACCAAACAGCCUCAUCAAAAAGUGGGCAAAGGUUAUGAACAGACACUUCUCAAAAGAAGACAUUAUUGCGGCCAAAAACCAUAUGAAAUAAAAGCUCAUCAUCACUGGUCAUUAGAGAAAUGCAAAUCAAAACCACAGCAAGAUACCAUCUUGCUCCAUUUAGAAUGGUGAUCAUUAAAAAGUCAGGGAACAAAAGAUGCUGGAGAGAAUGUGGAGAAAUAGGAACCAUUUUACACUGUUGGUGGGAGUGUAAAUAAGUUCAACCAUCGUUGAAGACAGUGUGGUGAUUCCUCAAGGAUCUAGAACUAGAAAUACCAUUUGACCCAGCAAUUCCAUUACUGGUUAUAUACCCAAAGGAUUAUAAAUCAUUCUACUAUAAAGACACAUGCACAUGUAUGUUUAUUGCAGUGCUAUUCACAACAGCAAAGACUUGGGACCAACCAAAAUGCCCAUCAAUGUCAGGCUGGAUAAAGAAAAUGUGGCACACAUAAACCAUGGAAUACUAUGCAGCCAUAAAAAAGAAUGAGUUCAUGUCCUUCGAAGGGAAAUGCAUGAAGCUGGAAACCAUCAUUCUCUGCAAACUAACACAGGAACAAAAUAUCAAACACCAUAUGUCCUCACUCAUAAGUGGGAGUUGAACAAUGAGAACAUAUGGGCACAGGGAGAGGAACAUCACACACCGGGGCCUAUCGGG
rnacentral:lncRNA from 10 species